CGUCGGGAGCCUCGAAUCGGAAGGGAGACGUCGCUCCCUGAUUGGUCCCGCCUCCCCCGUAGAGCGUGAGGCGAGGCGAGGCGCGGCCGGGCCCGCGGCGGUGGGCGAGGUGGGGUGGGACGCCCCCGGUUUCGGUUGACUUCGUCUUUGGGGAGCUCCCAGGAGAGACUGUGGGAGGGGAUGGCGGGGAAGCACGUGUCCUGCCGCAGCGGGGAGACAGCCCCGGGGUGACCUGUCCCCCUGCCUCGGCCCUGGGUCCCCUGCUCGGUCUCUCCAGCGCCAUUGGGUGGGGCCUGUGAGGGCCGCCGCUGGGCCCACCUUCCCUCAGCAAGCCGCGGAGGGGCAAGUGCUCAUCCCCUCGGAGGACCCGAGCCCGCCUGGAGGACAGGACGAGCCAGGGGCCGGAGGACGGUUCCGCCGAAGCCGCGCUGAUGAUGCGUGCUGUGAACGACCCUUGUGAAGUCCGAGAAAUAAGCCCGAUGCCCCUUCGUUGCCGGAUUCUCUUUCCCUUCAUUUCUCCGCUGUUCGGUGAUGGUAGGCCCCCAGCAUCUGCGCUGCAAGGCCCUUAACUGCCAGUAAGCUGCUCGCUGCCCAAAGCUGGUGGGGGCGUAACUGCACUCGGGUCACUUCGCUUUCACCCCAGGGACACCCAGAUCUCUGCUGAACUAUGGAACCCAACUAAUCAAUCACAUCCGAUUGUACAUUCCUGAAGGAUAAGGAAAGCAUCUCAUUCUCAGUUGUCUUCCCACACCCUUACCAAAAGACUAAGUAACUGAAGUGGAAUACAGCAUUUGUAUAGCAUUCUGUGUGUGCUAUAGGUCCACAAGCAUUCUACACAGCUUUGCCCCAUCGUUCUCAAUACAGCCAUUGAGCAUCUCUUCAACAUCUGAUCUCUGUAUUUACUCAUCCUGGUGGGGCUAAGUUGAAGUGAGCAUUGCUACUUCUUAAGGAAACAUCCAGUUAUUUGCAACUGAAAGGACACUGAUUUCAUGAAAUAACCUAAGUAAAAAUUGUAAACAACAAAUGUUGUGGGGUUACUUUUGUUGUAAGUAAUGAUAGAAAAAAUUCAAUAUCAGCUGGAUUUUUAUCUCAAUACAAUGAAAUUUUAUGUUUUAAAAGAAUUUGUAUUGAAGAUGUGUACACCUGCCUACACACACACACACACACACACACAUUCCUUAUUCACAUGCUAGCUUUUGUUAAAAAUGAAAACUAACAUCUGAUGGAGACAAGAAUAAAGCAUA